UCAUACCUAUGGGACGCAGCAGUGAGGAAUAUUGGUCAAUGGACGCAAGUCUGAACCAGCCAUGCCGCGUGCAGGAUGACGGCUCUAUGAGUUGUAAACUGCUUUUGUACGAGGGUAAACCCCGAUACGUGUACCGGGUUGAAAGUAUCGUACGAAUAAGGAUCGGCUAACUCCGUGCCAGCAGCCGCGGUAAUACGGAGGAUCCGAGCGUUAUCCGGAUUUAUUGGGUUUAAAGGGUGCGUAGGCGGUUUGAUAAGUUAGAGGUGAAAUGUCGGGGCUCAACCCCGAAACUGCCUCUAAUACUU
rnacentral:rRNA from 1 species